AGCAGAGAGGCAGUCAGAGACACUAGUCAAGAGGGACGGGGAGAGAUCAGGAGAGGACAGGUAGAUUUGCGUGUCAUCUGCAUAGAAAUGAUAUUGGAAGCCAAAGGAGCUAAUGAGUUUACCAAGGGAGGCAGUGUAGAUGGAGAACAGUAGGGGACCAAGGACUGAACCUUGGGGGACACCAACAGAGAGGAGUUGGGGAGAAGAAGCAGAGCCAGAGAAAGAAAC